rnacentral:rRNA from 1 species
CCUACGGGUGGCUGCAGUGAGGAAUAUUGGUCAAUGGACGAGAGUCUGAACCAGCCAAGUAGCGUGAAGGAUGACUGCCCGAGGGGGUGAAAACUUCUGUUAUAGGGGAAAAAAAUGUGCCACGGGGGGGAUUUUGUAUGUACCAUAGGAAUAAGGAUCGGCUAACUCCGUGCCAGCAGCCGCGGUAAGACGGAGGAUCCGAGCGUUAUCCGGAUUAAUGGGGUUUAAAGGGAGCGUAGGUGGCUUGUUAAGUCAGUUGUGAAAGUUUGCGGCUCAACCGUAAAAUUGCUGUUGAAACUGGCAGUCUUGAGUACAGUAGAGGUGGGCGGAAUUCGUGGUGUAGCGGUGACAUGCUUAGCUCUCACG